GUGUCUCUAAGGCCUGUAGAGAUUUGACAGGAUUCCCAUGAAUGAGAACUUUUGCCCACAGUUCUGUCUCAGAAACUCUGCCUUGCAAAUAAUAGAGCUGGAGGCUUGUGGUCGAAUGACCUCAGCAUCAUUGCGAAAGUUGUUCGCUUGCAUUAUUCUCACAACACGUGAUUCCAUAAGAAACACCGUGCUAUGUCUAGCUACUUUUCAUUAACUCUUUCCUGGGAGGCAAAGCACUGAAAGAAACACACAUAUUUCAUCCUCUGUCUGUGGGUUGUUCCAGGCUUUUGCCCACAUCUCACAUCCUCCAGAGAAGGGUUUCUCAGCCCCAAUUGAGCUACAGGCUUAGAAAGCUCAGAGCGCAGCUGUGCCUUUGGUCAGAGUUGUGCAGGAAAGUAUGCUGCUUUUUCAGUUGCGUUAAAGUAAUUGUUCCUCCACUCUUCCAGGAUGGUGCUGUCCACAAGUAGAACCCAGCACAAACUUCAUGGCAUACUUUUGCCACUCUGUCUCUCCUAACAGUGUAUGAUCUUCUGAGUUCUAUAUCUGUUAGAGCUGUGCAAAGGGAGCAACAAUGUUAAAGAUGCAACAAGUUUUUCUAAAACAAAUUCAUAGGAAAGAAAGAUCUUUUCUUUAAACGUCUCCAUUGAGCUCAUGUGUGCUUCCAUCCCAGAAGCUGAGACAGAGGAGAAGUGGUCCUCUCCUCUCAGCUCUCUCUGUUGCUGGGAGGAAGCAGCCCAGCUCAAGUUUGCUACCAUUGCAGCUCUGGACAACAGAGUGAAUAGCUUGUAAAAUUGCAUUCCUGCAUGUUUGUAAAGCACUUAGCACAGCAAAGGUCUGGCUGUAUAACUGAAGAGCUGAUAUAAAUAUUGCUAGUAAAGAAGAGAUUUCUACUGGAGCUCUGUGUGAAUGAUGAAAUUGACCAUUGCCAUUUCAAAGCAUGUGGAGAACGGGAUGAGAAGUUCUUAGUGAGCUCCAUGCUGCGCUGAGAAAAGCUUGCUUGAAAUUUAAACAAGGAUGAUGGAAGCAAUCCUUUAAGUGCUUGUUCCAGGUUUGAUGCAAAACCUCCUUUCAAUGCAGAAAUUCCCACAGUAAAUCUAUUGGGGUCACCACCCCAGUGAGCCUGACCACAGGACAAGGCAGGCACCCCUGUGCCACCUGCCUGGGGAACAGCACAAUGAAGCUCCCUGAUGCUGUGCAGGGGGGUCUGCACUGCAAUAUAGAUGUAGCCAAAGGGAUGGCAGCUCCUGACUGGGGAGUCCCAGCAGGAAGAAAGCAGAGCCAGUGAGGAAUGGGGAUGCACGGCAACCAACAUCCAUGUGUGGCUCUGAGUAUCUAUGCCAAAUUGGAGGUCAUUAUAUUUCACAGAGUCCUCACCUGUACGUGAUACAGCUCAUUGCUCACCUUCUGGAUGAGGUCCAGGUGUUGCAGAGGACCAGGCUGUGCCCUGCUGGGAGGUGGGUGCUGAGCAGUAGGGGCUCUUGGGAGUACAGAAGCUCUGUGAGCUGCAGGUGCAGCUGUGCUCUGCUCCCAGGCUGGGCACUUGCUGGCUGCCAAACUGCGUGCAGUGAUUAUGCAGUGUGGACAUCUUGUCAGCUGCUGAGAUGGGCCUGCCUGACUCAUUUCCACUUGGAAUCUUGAUGACAGUUUGGUUUGAAUUAGACGUGGGCUAAAGCCAGAACCCUGGAUCUGAACUUCCUCGGAUUUUGGGAAGACUCCAUUCUGGAUCUGAGCUUAGCACAUGGCUCUUGCUUACACAAUGAUCGGAGCCAAACUCUGUAUCAGGGCAUUCCCAGAAUUUAGGGAAGCUCAGAGCUCAUCUUUGAUGCUGAGGUCAUCUCAAGCACAGGUUUCUGGAGAUGAAAUACUACCUAUAGCCUAGCUUGCUCUUCCUUUUCUUGUAAAACUGACAUUGAACAAGUGCAUUCUUUACUCUGCAAUUGCACCUUCUCAGUUCUGGCAAGUAGAAAAGAUCUGUGCGAGUCUGUAUACGUUUCAAUUGGAAAAGCAGCCUCUCAGGAACUUCCAUAUUGCAUGCACAAGAAGCUUUUUGGCUUUUGAGCACAAUUGUAGUGUCAUUCCAGAAGCUCUGGACACACAUUCCUUGCUGCAGACACUGGUGCCUGUCAGCACAGGAGUCGUGGCUGUGGCACCAACACUUACCCCUGCAUGGCUCUUUCUGUGAAAAGGAAAGACUGAAGAGUAACAAAAUUCCAUUUGCAAGCUGCUCCAGUGACACAGUGCUAACCACCAUCCCCAAAAGGUGAGAUCUUGUGAUGUGCUACUGCAGUGUGCCUGCAGGGACCUACUUCUGAAGCCCUCUGCUUCUCAAGCAUGGGCAGGCAAGCUGGAGAAAUCCCAGAGAAGCAUCCCUGUCCGGGAAAAGCUGAGCUGCCUGCUGCUGUGCUGAGAAAACCCAGCUCCAACAGAAGGCUUUGUCAACACAGCGCCGUAUCAUUCGCUCGAGGUGUACACACUUCACUUGACACCUCUGCCUUGUCCUACAGAUGUUCCACUGUGUUUCGGAUGGAGCCUCUAACAGUACAGCUGUUUGAACACAUGUGCAUUUUCCACUCAACAAACCACAAGAAUAUGGCAGCAGGGUUACAACGUCUGACUCCUAGGGCGAGAAUGAGAGAAGCUGAAGAGGUGUUUCUUUGGGAAAUCUCUGUAUUUUCUCCUGUAGUUUCUCUCUUUCUCGUUUUAUUCACCGACUGUGCUACGCUCAGACCAUGGGGAAGGUGAAGCCUGAUUGAUAUUGCAAGUGACAACUGUGGCCUCGAAACCAUUUCCUCAGUUCAUCUUCAGGAGGCGUUAAGCCCACAGCGUUUUGCCUGUUCCACAGGAGCAGAGUCCUUCUGACUUUUAUUCACAAAAAUCCACUUUAUUCCAAUUCCUGCUAAUCUGCUGUUGCUUGUGAAUAAAUUAGAGCCUGCCCCGAUAAAGAGGCUUAAAGAGGAAUGAUCAGAUGUGCUCAGAAGAAAAGGAGUUUACAACAGACUUCCUGCUUUUGCCAUUGUAGGAUAUGAGAAGAGGCGGUGGGCUCUCACCAUGAAUUUCACAACUGAAAGCACUUUCUGCUCCCAGUAAGGUACUGAAGCUGGGGAGAUUGGAAAUAAUGCAUUAAUAGAAUAGUGAGCCCCACUAUGGAUAUCCUGUGGAAUCCACAGCCGCUUCUACCGCUCUUCUCUCACGGGCAUCCAUCUAAUCCAGGCACCUGGAAUUAUUUGCCUCCCAGUUAACACCAGUUGGGAUAUGACGUGUUGCCUAUCCUUUCCAUCCUAUCAACAUCUGGUUUGUGAAAAACAGAUGUGCACAAAUCGAUCGGAUUAAUGUGUUUGAUUCUGCAAUUGACUGCAGGAGAAAUCAGCAAAGCACUGAUGUCGAAUCAGUGUCAAAUUUUGGCUUCCAGCCCUUUGGUGUCCAACUGGAAUUGUUGUGCUUUGUGAAACUUCUUUAGAUACAAGAGGGCCAGAGUGCAACUCCCCAUGCUGGGAACAUUUCAGAUGAUUCAAUGUGGAGUUACCACUAUUGAAAUCCAUCCUUUUGAGGCUCUAAAUUCAGAUAACUUCCAAAGAAGAAAAAAUGCAAUACCCUUCAUCUCAUCUAAGUUUGGGCCCUACCAGCAAAUUUCAAACCCACACUUAAGCAUGCAUUUCCCCCAAAUGUGAGGGUGUUUUGAGCAGGAAUCCAUCACUCUGUUUCUUUUCUUUUUUCUUUUCCAGCUGAAACCUAAUAAAUGGAACUCUAUAAAGACUGAGUUCAGACAACAUCUGGAGGCAGAUUAAAAUCCUCCAAGCUACUGUUCCACAGUCUUAGGGAUCAUUAGUACUGCAAAACAUCUAUACAGAAUAUUUAUCUAACGCAUGUGAUAAAAUGAAAGCUAUUGCCUCAGAUUCAGAACAACCACUGAUGAAAAGAAAUACCUCACAUCACCAUUAAGUUAGAGCUUCUCAAGCUGAAAUCUCUUUGCUAACCAAAGCACAGCAACUUGACGUUACAAAAAGCUUAAUGCUAAAUAUUGGGGGGGAAUUUAUUACUUUCAUUGUGAGACUUCAUCACUGGUUAGUUUAAUGUUUCUUUCCCCCUUUUUCUUUUAAUCGCCCUCCCUCUCUGCUUGGGAUGGUUUAUCGCUUGUAAAUUAUUUGUCACAUCGUUGUAAUUCUAUCCAGAUCCUUAACUUUCUAAUCAUGCAUCUUUUAUGGGGUCUCUUUUAAAGAAGCACUAUAAUUACUUGCCAAGGGUCCCUGUAAAUUUUAUCAGGCUGUAAAAUAUUAUACUUUAAUUAUUUGGGGAAAAAAAAAAAGGAAAUGUUCCCUCUGAAAAGCUACACGAUCAAUACUGCAAGGAGCAAGGCGCCUUCUGCAC
ensembl:lncRNA